AUCCACCUUACUUCUAGUUUUUUUUAAUUUCUAAUCUCACUUUGGACUCUCUCGAUUAUUUUCUCUGAUCUCCCUUAAAGUAAGGAGUAUCCGUUGGAGAGCCCUCUGCCAGCUCAGCAAGCAGCCCGCAGUGUCCCGCCACCAAACCGCCCUGCGCCGUGUUCAGUACUCGGGAGCGCCCGUCCAGCCCGAGCUGCGCUUCGCUGCAUCUGUGAGAGUGUCUCGUUCUGCCCACUGUCCUGCUGUAAGUAGAUCUGAAAGUCUUGGUUACUUGAAGUUACAAUAUCAAGCCCGCAGUCGCUAGAAUCAGCCCAGCGCGGCCACGUGUGCGCGUGGCAUCCUGCGCGCCGGCACCAGGCUUGGCUACGAGCUCAGUCUGGCGGCUCCACUGUCUGAGCUCUUCUUCUCGGAAGUGGGCAUCAUUUCUGGCGUCUAGCUCUGCUUACAGGAGGGAGACAGCGGCUGGCCUGUGGCUUAGCCGACCACUGUCCCUGGUCUUUGAUGCUGACCUCAUGGGGACGCCUGCUGUUUUUUCAGUCUCCAAGUGGCAUCUGCUCCCCCGGGACCAGUGCAGCCAGCUGGGGACGCACGGUGUGAGCUCCAUGUGUACCAAGCACGGCCUGAUGUUCAGAGGUUGAUUCCUCACCAAAUUCAAGCCACGUUCUGUGAAGAAGAUCUGAUGUGUUUAUCCACUGGGUUUUGUUCUUUUCCCUUUUCUUGGUGGUCUAAGAGUUUGGAAAUAGAAAUGCC
rnacentral:lncRNA from 1 species